rnacentral:tRNA from 1 species
GAGGGUAUAGCUCAGUUGUAGAGCGUGUGUUUAACAUGCAUGAGGUCCUGGAUUCAAUCUCCAGUACCUCCG